UACGAAGGGGGCUAGCGUUGUUCGGAAUCACUGGGCGUAAAGCGCACGCAGGCGGAUUGAUAAGUCAGGGGUGAAAUCCCGGGGCUCAACCUCGGAAUUGCCUUUGAUACUGUCUGUCUUGAGUUCGGGAGAGGUUGGCGGAAUUCCUAGUGUAGAGGUGAAAUUCGUAGAUAUUAGGAAGAACACCAGUGGCGAAGGCGGCCAACUGGCC
rnacentral:rRNA from 1 species